rnacentral:rRNA from 1 species
GCCGAAAGAGGUGAUACUCAACGGAGUACUGAGAUAAAAGGAAAAGAAUAGUUACUGGCGGUUACCAACCCUUCUAGAGGAACAUGUGAGGGUGGAACGAAACUGCACGAGCAAUCAGUGUCACCUUUGCAAGGCCAUUCUGCCCACCACUGUCUGAAAGGGGGAGUCCGUUCUCCUUUUAUUCAAAUAGGAAAAUAAGGCAAGCAAACGUGCAGAUAAUAGGUGAAGACUCAUGUGUCCCAAUCUAACUGACGUACCUUCUUUGAAAAAAGAAGGGGAGGAGAAUUUAGAAGUAAGAAGGUAUUACAAUUCCUUUCUGAAAUAGGCUCUUGGUAACGU